CCUACGGGAGGCAGCAGUGGGGAAUAUUGCACAAUGGGGGAAACCCUGAUGCAGCCAUGCCGCGUGUGUGAAGAAGGCCUUCGGGUUGUAAAGCACUUUCAGUUGUGAGGAAAAGUUAGUAGUUAAUACCUGCUAGCCGUGACGUUAACAACAGAAGAAGCACCGGCUAACUCCGUGCCAGCAGCCGCGGUAAUA
rnacentral:rRNA from 1 species